AGCGAACGCUGGCGGCAGGCUUAACACAUGCAAGUCGAGCGGGCACUUCGGUGUCAGCGGCAGACGUGUGAGUAACACGUGGGAACGUACCCUUUGGUUCGGAAUAACGCUGGGAAACUAGCGCUAAUACCGGAUACGCCCUUUUGGGGAAAGGCUUUCUGCCGAAGGAUCGGCCCGCGUCUGAUUAGCUAGUUGGUGGGGUAAUGGCAUACCAAGGCGACGAUCAGUAGCUGGUGUGAGAGGAUGAUCAGCCACACUGGGACUGAGACACGGCCCAGACUCCUACGGGAGGCAGCAGUGGGGAAUAUUGGACAAGGGGCGCAAGUCUGAUCCAGCCAUGCCGCGUGAGUGAUGAAGGCCUUAGGGUUGUAAAGCUCUUUUGUCCGGGACGAUAAUGACGGUACCGGAAGAAUAAGCCCCGGCUAACUUCGUG
rnacentral:rRNA from 1 species